UCAGACUGCUUUGCCUCCCAAAUGCUGGGA
rnacentral:piRNA from 1 species